ACGAACGCUGGCGGCGAGCUUAACACAUGCAAGUCGAACGGAAAGGCCCUGCUUGCAGGGUACUCGAGUGGCGAACGGGUGAGUAACACGUGGGUGAUCUGCCCUGCACUUCGGGAUAAGCUUGGGAAACUGGGUCUAAUACCGGAUAGGACCGCACUUUAGUGUGUGUGGUGGAAAGUUUUUUCGGUGUAGGAUGAGCUCGCGGCCUAUCAGCUUGUUGGUGGGGUAAUGGCCUACCAAGGCGGCGACGGGUAGCCGGCCUGAGAGGGUGUACGGCCACAUUGGGACUGAGAUACGGCCCAGACUCCUACGGGAGGCAGCAGUGGGGAAUAUUGCACAAUGGGCGCAAGCCUGAUGCAGCGACGCCGCGUGGGGGAUGAAGGCCUUCGGGUUGUAAACUCCCUUCGCUAGGGACGAAGCUUUUUGUGACGGUACCUAGAUAAGAAGCACCGGCUAACUACGUG
rnacentral:rRNA from 1 species